GUGGUUUAAUUCGAUGCAACGUCGAAAACCUUACCACCUUUGACAUGUACGGAACCCUUUAGAGAUAGAGGGUGCUCGAAGAGAGCCGUAACACAGGUGCUGCAUGGCUGUCGUCAGCUCGUGUCGUGAGAUGUUCGGGUUAAGUCCCGCAACGAGCGCAACCCUUGUCAUUAGUUGCUACAUUCAGUUGGGCACUCUAAUGAGACUGCCGGUGACAAACCGGAGGAAGUGGGGAUGACGUCAAGUCCUCAUGGCCCUUAUAGGUGGGGCUACACACGUCAUACAAUGGCUGGUACAGAGGGUUGCCAACCCGCGAGGGGGAGCUAAUCCCAUAAAACCAGUCGUAGUCCGGAUCGCAGUCUGCAACUCGACUGCGUGAAGUCGGAAUCGCUAGUAAUCGCGGAUCAGAAUGUCGCGGUGAAUACGUUCCCGGGUCUU
rnacentral:rRNA from 1 species